AUGAACGCUAGCUACAGGCUUAACACAUGCAAGUCGAGGGGCAUCAGGAAGAAAGCUUGCUUUCUUUGCUGGCGACCGGCGCACGGGUGAGUAACACGUAUCCAACCUGCCCUUUACUCGGGGAUAGCCUUUCGAAAGAAAGAUUAAUACCCGAUAGCAUAAUGAUUCCGCAUGGUUUCAUUAUUAAAGGAUUCCGGUAAAGGAUGGGGAUGCGUUCCAUUAGGUUGUUGGUGAGGUAACGGCCCACCAAGCCUUCGAUGGAUAGGGGUUCUGAGAGGAAGGUCCCCCACAUUGGAACUGAGACACGGUCCAAACUCCUACGGGAGGCAGCAGUGAGGAAUAUUGGUCAAUGGGCGCUAGCCUGAACCAGCCAAGUAGCGUGAAGGAUGAAGGCUCUAUGGGUCGUAAACUUCUUUUAUAUAAGAAUAAAGUGCAGUAUGUAUACUGUUUUGUAUGUAUUAUAUGAAUAAGGAUCGGCUAACUCCGUGCCAGCAGCCGCGGUAAUACGGAGGAUCCGAGCGUUAUCCGGAUUUAUUGGGUUUAAAGGGAGCGUAGGUGGACUGGUAAGUCAGUUGUGAAAGUUUGCGGCUCAACCGUAAAAUUGCAGUUGAUACUGUCAGUCUUGAGUACAGUAGAGGUGGGCGGAAUUCGUGGUGUAGCGGUGAAAUGCUUAGAUAUCACGAGGAACUCCGAUUGCGAAGGCAGCUCACUGGACUGCAACUGACACUGAUGCUCGAAAGUGUGGGUAUCAAACAGGAUUAGAUACCCUGGUAGUCCACACAGUAAACGAUGAAUACUCGCUGUUUGCGAUAUACAGUAAGCGGCCAAGCGAAAGCAUUAAGUAUUCCACCUGGGGAGUACGCCGGCAACGGUGAAACUCAAAGGAAUUGACGGGGGCCCGCACAAGCGGAGGAACAUGUGGUUUAAUUCGAUGAUACGCGAGGAACCUUACCCGGGCUUAAAUUGCAGUGGAAUGAUGUGGAAACAUGUCAGUGAGCAAUCACCGCUGUGAAGGUGCUGCAUGGUUGUCGUCAGCUCGUGCCGUGAGGUGUCGGCUUAAGUGCCAUAACGAGCGCAACCCUUAUCUUUAGUUACUAACAGGUUAUGCUGAGGACUCUAGAGAGACUGCCGUCGUAAGAUGUGAGGAAGGUGGGGAUGACGUCAAAUCAGCACGGCCCUUACGUCCGGGGCUACACACGUGUUACAAUGGGGGGUACAGAAGGCAGCUAGCGGGUGACCGUAUGCUAAUCCCAAAAUCCUCUCUCAGUUCGGAUCGAAGUCUGCAACCCGACUUCGUGAAGCUGGAUUCGCUAGUAAUCGCGCAUCAGCCACGGCGCGGUGAAUACGUUCCCGGGCCUUGUACACACCGCCCGUCAAGCCAUGGGAGCCGGGGGUACCUGAAGUACGUAACCGCAAGGAUCGUCCUAGGGUAAAACUGGUGACUGGGGCU
rnacentral:rRNA from 1 species